rnacentral:RNase_P_RNA from 1 species
GAGCGGGUCGGGCGACCGCGGAACCCUUCGGGGUAUGAGGAAAGUCCGGGCUUCGACAGACAGGAUGCCAGCUAACGGCUGGGCGGGGCGACCCGAUGGAAAGUGCCACAGAAAAGUAAACUCCCCCGCUUUGCGGGAGAAAAGCUGAAACGGUGCGGUAAAAGCGCACCAGCGGGCCAGCAAUGGUCCGGCUUGGAAAACCCCAUCCGAAGCAAGCGCAAAUAGGGGUGCGAUACGAUCGUCUGUUCGUGCAUCCGGGUUGCGUGCUCGAGGCCUGCGGCGACGCAGGUCCUAGAUAAAUGGUUGCCGAUUACAGAACCCGGCUUAUAGACCCGCUCC